UGAAGAGAGGGACUUAAUGGAAGGAGGACUCAACUGAGAAGUUUCCAUACUACUGCUUUAGAUUUUAUGAUACUGGUGAUACUAUGAGGAAAAUUUAUAAUUGUUCUAUUGUUUCACCAAAAUGAAAGACAGUUAUGUUCUUUAAUUAAUUUUUCUCCCAGACAUUGAAGGUGUCUAAGUAAUUGGCUCUUGGACCACUAGGGAAUGCAUCAUUCCAGUUAAAAGAUCACUGGUGUAAUUAAAUCUUUCAAGCAUUUUCCAGUUUACAAGAAGCAUAAAGAGAUUGUUAUUUUGGCAUAUUUUGGGCAGAAGAUUAUGGAAAGUAAGCUUUCAGUUCUUAAAUUUUCCUCUAAGUUUACUGAAAUAAAGUUUGCAGAAUAUUUGUAUAAGCUAUAAGCUGGUGUAAUUUUAUUAGAAUCAGGGCCAAUCACAUAUGUGCAGUUCAAGUCAUGGAUUUUAUUGCAGGGAAUAAAACUGCUCCUAACACUAUCUUGCCUCAUUGGUUAAAUGCAGUAUUUCUGUCAUUCAGUUCUAGGCUUUGAACUGUGACAUUAAGAGUUGACUCUACCAAUUUGUAGCUGUGAUCAUUUGCCCAUAUGAAAUAUCCUUCAUGGUCUUUCAAAGCAGGCUUUCAAAAGAUCACUUUUAUGUUCCAUUUAUCAACUUUAUGCUUAAAAAACAUACAGACAUCUGAACUGUAGGGAAUGCAAGAGAGCAGUGUCCCAGGCUGGUUUUCUGUGGAGCUGUGCAGGGUGCUAGCAGUAAGCUGAAAUGGAAAUUAUCACCUCUAGUAAUUCUGCAUAGGGAAGAUUUCCAGUGUAGCUUGUGUAAAGCUACCCCAUGGCAUUUUUGUGAGUUGCUGUUGUAUGUAGUGGAGUAGCAGUUGUGAGGAGUACCAUACCUGUUUUCCUGGUGGUGUGGUAGGAAUUCUUGUGAAAGAAGCUCUAUUGCCUGCAGCUCCUCAUACUGGGGUGAAAGAAGAGGACGACUCCUGGAAAGCAGAGCUCAGUCUAAUGGAUCUGAAAAGGAGGCACAGUGGUGCAUGCAGCAGUCUGAGCUGUGCUUUAGCUCGUAAUGGAGAACGUUUAGACAGGAAUUCCGUUUCAGGCAUAGAGUAGGUAAAAAUAGGUGUCUGAAUCUGUAAUGCUUUUACAAAAUUUGUAAGGUUGGGGAGUUUGUGCAUUUGGUUGGAAGGAGGCUACUUUAAAGCCCCAGUGCAGCUUCUCAAGUUAAAAGUUUGAAAAAAUAAAAGAGGUGCUAUAAUGUUAUAAAAGGGGUCGGUAACAGCACUUAGGUCCAGCCUGCAGGCCUCCAGGAUGAUAGGCAUUUAAAGGGGAAUGGAAUAAUUGCAGGUUUUUUGACAGGAAACUUGCUCAUUUUUUCUCAAAACUAUGUCUUUGU